rnacentral:rRNA from 1 species
AUUGAACGCUGGCGGCAGGCCUAACACAUGCAAGUCGAACGAGUGGCGGACGGGUGAGUAAUGUCUGGGAAACUGCCUGGUGGAGGGGGAUAACUACUGGGAACGGUAGCUAAUACCGAAUACCCUCAGAUGUACCCAGAUGGGAUGUGAUAGUUGGUGGGGUAACGGCUCACCAAGGCGACGAUCCCUAGCUGGUCUGAGAGGAUGAACAGCCACACUGGAACGGAGACACGGUCCAGACUCCUACGGGAGGCAGAAGUGGGGAAUAUGGCACAAUGGGCGCAAGCCUGAUGCAGCCAUGCCGCUGGUAUGAAGAAGGCCUUCGGGUUGUAAAGUACUUUCAGCGGGGAUGCGUUACCCGCAGAAGAAGCACCGGCUAACUCCGUGCCAGCAGCCGCGGUAAUAC